GAUGGGUCCAUAAGUUCCCGUCACCCCCUUCCUGCCCCUCUCCCGUUCCUCUUCUCCCCCCUUUUCUUCCUCUAGGGUUAGGAUUUGGAGAUGGAAUUUUGAGCGCUUGUAUCACGGAUUCAUGGGAAAGGAGGCCCUUCCCUCCUAGUGCCCUCCGGACUUUUGAAUCGAUUCAAUUCGUUGUCUCUGUGAUCUUGUUUUUCUGCUGGAAUUCUUGUUUUCCCUCUGUUUGUUCUUGGCGCUGGUGCAGGGGGCCUUGGGCCUUUUGGGAGUGCGCGCUGCAGCAAGCAAGAAGAACAAGAGCCAGCACGCACACAGCACAAGCAGCUCAUGUGCAGCACCAGCAGGAAGGCAGCAGGCGGCCAGCGAGCGUGUGCACAGCAGGGGCAGCGACCAAGGGCCUAGGCGCGCAGGUAAUUUUUGUCUUCGUGUGUUGGGGAUCAGAGGCACAUCGACUAGGCAGCAGCAGGAGCUCGGCAUCGGCAACUCCAUCCACCGCACGCAGGCUGCUCGAUGUUUUGCCCACAAGGUUAGGCAGCUCGACUGGUCAACAAGCACAUCAUGCAUAGGAGACGAAAGGAAGCAUGAGUCUGUUGGGUUCCCUUUCAGAUGGAUGGACCGAUAUAAGGAUUUCAUGGCAAUCCAAUGGUGGAAUUUUUGCGAUGACAUGGAUAGCUUGUAUGUCAAGAGAAAUAACAUUUAAUGAGUUGUGGGAAGCUUUUUUUUAUAAGAGUUAUAGAUAGCAGCAGCUUCUUCCUUCCUUCCUCCUCCUCCUCCUCUGGUUAAUUAGCACCAACGGCAUGCAACAACGUUGUGCCAUGGAGUCAGGGGGUAGUGCUGGCAGGAAGAGGAGGCAUCAGGAACUGCUUCUGCUCGGCAAUCGAUUGGAGUGGCGCUCAUUUUCUCAAUGUUCCUGAAAGGAAUGGUUCCAGGUCGACUUAGUUGUUUGACCCUGCUGAUCCAUUGUAUUCAUACACACUACACUCUGUAUUGCAUGAAGUUGUCGUUGAAUUGACACGGGCGUAACUUCUCCC